rnacentral:rRNA from 1 species
AGAGUUUGAUCAUGGCUCAGGAUGAACGCUAGCGGCAGGCUUAACACAUGCAAGUCGAGGGGCAGCGCGGGGUAGCAAUACUCUGGCGGCGACCGGCAGAAGGGUGCGUAACGCGUGAACAACAUACCCGAUACAGGGGGAAAAGCGGUGGAAACGCCGUCUAAUACCGCAUAACGCCAGGGGGCGACAUCGUCCCGUGGCCAAGCCCGAGAGGGGGUAACGGAUUGGUUCGCGAUACAUUAGCCAGUUGGUGGGGUAACGGCCCACCAAAGCGACGAUGUAUAGGGGUUCUGAGAGGAAGGUCCCCCACACUGGAACUGAGACACGGUCCAGACUCCUACGGGAGGCAGCAGUGAGGAAUAUUGGACAAUGGUCGGAAGACUGAUCCAGCCAUGCCGCGUGAAGGUAAGGGUCCUAUGGACUAUCAACUUCUUUUGUACGGGAGCAAUAAGGCCCACGAGUGGGUUGAUGAGAGUACCGUACGAAUAAGCAUCGGCUAACUCCGUGCCAGCAGCCGCGGUAAUACGGAGGAUGCGAGCGUUAUCCGGAUUUAUUGGGUUUAAAGGGUGCGCAGGCGGGCUGACAAGUCAGGGGUGAAAUAUCCGCGCGCAACGCGGGGGGUGCCCAUGAGACUGUCGGUCUUGGAUACGGUUGGCGUGGGAGGAAUGUAGUGUAGCGGUGAAAUGCAUAGAUAUUACACAGAAGGCCGAUUGCGAAAGCAUCUCACGAAGCCGGGAUUGACGCUGAGGCACGAAAGUGUGGGGAUCGAACAGGAUUAGAUACCCUAGUAGUCC